rnacentral:piRNA from 1 species
UAAAGGAAGCCGAGACACUAUGACCC